AAAUUGAAGAGUUUGAUCAUGGCUCAGAUUGAACGCUGGCGGCAGGCCUAACACAUGCAAGUCGAGCGGAAACGAGUUAUCUGAACCUUCGGGGAACGAUAACGGCGUCGAGCGGCGGACGGUGAGUAAUGCCUAGGAAAUUGCCCUGAUGUGGGGGAUAACCAUUGGAAACGAUGGCUAAUACCGCAUAACGCCUACGGGCCAAAGAGGGGGACCUUCGGGCCUCUCGCGUCAGGAUAUGCCUAGGUGGGAUUAGCUAGUUGGUGAGGUAAGGGCUCACCAAGGCGACGAUCCCUAGCUGGUCUGAGAGGAUGAUCAGCCACACUGGAACUGAGACACGGUCCAGACUCCUACGGGAGGCAGCAGUGGGGAAUAUUGCACAAUGGGCGCAAGCCUGAUGCAGCCAUGCCGCGUGUGUGAAGAAGGCCUUCGGGUUGUAAAGCACUUUCAGUCGUGAGGAAGGUAGUGUAGUUAAUAGCUGCAUUAUUUGACGUUAGCGACAGAAGAAGCACCGGCUAACUCCGUGCCAGCAGCCGCGGUAAUACGGAGGGUGCGAGCGUUAAUCGGAAUUACUGGGCGUAAAGCGCAUGCAGGUGGUUUGUUAAGUCAGAUGUGAAAGCCCGGGGCUCAACCUCGGAAUUGCAUUUGAAACUGGCAGACUAGAGUACUGUAGAGGGGGGUAGAAUUUCAGGUGUAGCGGUGAAAUGCGUAGAGAUCUGAAGGAAUACCGGUGGCGAAGGCGGCCCCCUGGACAGAUACUGACACUCAGAUGCGAAAGCGUGGGAGCAAACAGGAUUAGAUACCCUGGUAGUCCACGCCGUAAACGAUGUCUACUUGGAGGUUGUGGCCUUGAGCCGUGGCUUUCGGAGCUAACGCGUUAAGUAGACCGCCUGGGAGUACGGUCGCAAGAUUAAAACUCAAAUGAAUUGACGGGGGCCCGCACAAGCGGUGGAGCAUGUGGUUUAAUUCGAUGCAACGCGAAGAACCUUACCUACUCUUGACAUCCAGAGAACUUUCCAGAGAUGGAUUGGUGCCUUCGGGAACUCUGAGACAGGUGCUGCAUGGCUGUCGUCAGCUCGUGUUGUGAAAUGUUGGGUUAAGUCCCGCAACGAGCGCAACCCUUAUCCUUGUUUGCCAGCGAGUAAUGUCGGGAACUCCAGGGAGACUGCCGGUGAUAAACCGGAGGAAGGUGGGGACGACGUCAAGUCAUCAUGGCCCUUACGAGUAGGGCUACACACGUGCUACAAUGGCGCAUACAGAGGGCGGCCAACUUGCGAAAGUGAGCGAAUCCCAAAAAGUGCGUCGUAGUCCGGAUCGGAGUCUGCAACUCGACUCCGUGAAGUCGGAAUCGCUAGUAAUCGUGGAUCAGAAUGCCACGGUGAAUACGUUCCCGGGCCUUGUACACACCGCCCGUCACACCAUGGGAGUGGGCUGCAAAAGAAGUAGGUAGUUUAACCUUCGGGAGGACGCUUACCACUUUGUGGUUCAUGACUGGGGUGAAGUCGUAACAAGGUAGCGCUAGGGGAACCUGGCGCUGGAUCACCUCCUUAUACGAUGAU
rnacentral:rRNA from 1 species